UACGAAAGGCAGCAGUGGGGAAUAUUGCACAAUGGGCGAAAGCCUGAUGCAGCUAUGCCGCGUGUAUGAAGAAGGCCUUAGGGUUGUAAAGUACUUUCAUCGGGGAGGAAAAAACAAAACUAAUAAUUUUAUUUCUUGACGUUACCCGAAAAAGAAGCACCGGCUAACUCCGUGCCAGCAGCCGCGGUAAUACGGAGGGUGCUAGCGUUAAUCAGAAUUACUGGGCGUAAAGAGCACGUAGGUGGUUUUUUAAGUCAGAUGUGAAAUCCCUGGGCUUAACCUAGGAACUGCAUUUUGAAACUGAAAUACUAGAGUAUCGUAGAGGGAGGUAGAAUUCUAGGUGUAGCGGUGAAAUGCGUAGAUAUCUGGAGGAAUACCUGUGGCGAAAGCGGCCUCCUAAACGAAUACUGACACUGAGGUGCGAAAGCGUGGGGAGCAAACAGGGAUUAGAUACC
rnacentral:rRNA from 1 species